UCCUUUGAGAAGUUUACCUGCAUUAAACGAGAACCAUCGUUCAUUUCAGUAAUCUUCCCAGUUACAAUUAUUCAGCUUUAGCAAUCAGUUCAACAAUCAAACAAAGCAACUUCAAGUUAUUGUACAAUACGUUCAACCUCCAACAACAAGCAAUCAGUUCAAACAUUUGAGGUCAAGCGCAAGAGUAAGAACUACACAAGGAGUUAGAGUACCUUAGCAAAACUUUGCUAUCAGGUUGAGCUGUGAUGGGCGAUGAAGUAUUGCUGAGUGGAGUUUUUGUCGAACUUAAAGUAGGCUCAGAAAGGAUACAUGUCUUCAUACAUGUAUCUCAGUUAUGCAUUCCGCUGUAAACACUGAUUAUUUCAGUUACGCCUUCCGUUGCAAACUCUGAUAAUGUUUUAGCCAAGCCCCUAACGAUGCCUUUUUCCUUUUUAAGGAAUAUUUCACGCGUAUUCAA